AAAUGGAUUCUGGUCUAAGCAGUGAGGUGUGAGAUGUGUCAAAUGCAUUUCUCUUUAACAUUGAGCUGUGAUGGGGAAGCAACUACGGUUGCGAACUCUCUGAUGUCACACUGCCAAGAAAAGCUUCUAGCGUAAAGUCAUAUCUACCCGUACCGCAAACCGACACAGGUAGUCGAGGCGAGUAGCCUCAGGUGAUCGAGAGAACUCUCGUUAAGGAACUCGGCAAAAUAGCCCCGUAACUUCGGGAGAAGGGGUGCUGGUGUAAAAGCCAGCCGCAGUGAAUAGGCCCAAGCAACUGUUUAUCAAAAACACAGCUCUCUGCUAAACCGCAAGGUGAUGUAUAGGGGGUGACGCCUGCCCGGUGCUGGAAGGUUAAGAGGAGUGCUUAGACGUAAGUCGAAGGUAUGAAUUGAAGCCCCAGUAAACGGCGGCCGUAACAAUAACGGUCCUAAGGUAGCGAAAUUCCUUGUCGGGUAAGUUCCGACCCGCACGAAAGGCGUAAUGAUUUGGGCACUGUCUCAACGAGAGACUCGGUGAAAUUUUAGUACCUGUGAAGAUGCAGGUUACCCGCGACAGGACGGAAAGACCCCAUGGAGCUUUACUGUAGUUUGAUAUUGAGUACCUGUAAGUCAUGUACAGGAUAGGUAGGAGCCAUUGAAAUAGGGACGCUAGUUUCUAUUGAGGCGUUGUUGGGAUACUACCCUUGACUUAUGGUUACUCUAACCCGCUGGCAUAAUCGGCCAGGGAGACAGUGUCUGACGGACAGUUUGACUGGGGCGGUCGCCUCCUAAAGAGUAACGGAGGCGCUCAAAGGUUGGCUCAGAUUGGUUGGAAAUCAAUCGUAGAGUGUAAAGGUAAAAGCCAGCUUGACUGCGAGAGCUACAACUCGAGCAGGUAGGAAACUAGGACUUAGUGAUCCGGUGGUACCGCAUGGAAGGGCCAUCGCUCAACGGAUAAAAGCUACCCUGGGGAUAACAGGCUUAUCUCCCCCAAGAGUUCACAUCGACGGGGAGGUUUGGCACCUCGAUGUCGGCUCGUCGCAUCCUGGGGCUGUAGUCGGUCCCAAGGGUUGGGCUGUUCGCCCAUUAAAGCGGCACGCGAGCUGGGUUCAGAACGUCGUGAGACAGUUCGGUCCCUAUCCGUCGCGGGCGUAGGUAAUUUGAGAGGAUCUGUCCUUAGUACGAGAGGACCGGGAUGGACUUACCGCUGGUGUACCAGUUGUUCCGCCAGGAGCACGGCUGGAUAGCUAUGUAGGGAAGGGAUAAGCGCUGAAAGCAUCUAAGUGCGAAGCCCACCUCAAGAUGAGAUUACCCAUUCGUAAGAAUUAAGAGCCCAGAGAGAUGGUCUGGUAGAUAGGCUGGAAGUGGAAGAGUUGCGAGACUUGGAGCGGACCAGUACUAAUCGCUCGAGGACUUUACCAG
rnacentral:rRNA from 1 species